rnacentral:rRNA from 1 species
AGGACGAACGCUGGCGGCGUGCUUAAUACAUGCAAGUCAACUUGACUUAGAUAGCAUAUCGAAAAGUAGGGUGGCGCACGGGUGCGUAACGCGUAGGUAAUCUGCCCUGAGGUCUGACAUAAACCCGUCGAAAGGCGGGCUAACAUCAGAUGAUAUAUAAUCACGACAUCGUGGAAAUAUCAAAUCUUCGGAGCCUUGGGAUGAGCCUGCGUCUGAUUAGGUAGUUGGCGGAGUAAUAGCCCACCAAGCCUACGAUCAGUAGCUGGUCUGAGAGGAUGAUCAGCCACACUGGAACUGAGACACGGUCCAGACUCCUACGGGAGGCAGCAGUAAGGAAUAUUGCUCAAUGGGGGGAAACCCUGAAGCAGCAACGCCGCGUGAAGGAUGAAAUACUUUGUAUGUAAACUUCUGUAAGAUGGGAAAAAUAUUCUCCUCGGGAGAAUUGAUUGUACCAUCAGAGUAAGCCCCGGCUAACUACGUG